CGGGCACUGGUGGUUCAUGCUUGUAAUCCUAGCUACUCAGGAGGUGAGAUAUAAGGAAUGCAGUUCAACGUCAGCCAGGGGAGGAAAGUCUGUGAAACUCUUAUCUUCAAUAAACUACCAGAAAACUGGAAGUGCCACUGUGGCUUAAG